UAGAGUUUGAUCCUGGCUCAGGAUGAACGCUGGCUACAGGCUUAACACAUGCAAGUCGUGGGGAAACGCGGCGGGAGCUUGCUCCCGCUGGCGUCGACCGGCGCACGGGUGAGUAACGCGUAUCCAACCUGCCCCCCGCCGCGGGACAGCCUUGCGAAAGCAAGAUUAAUCCCGCAUGGCCCCGCGCUUGUGCAUUCUGGCGCGGGCAAAGGCCCUGGCCGGCGUGGGAUGGGGAUGCGUCCGAUUAGCUUGUUGGCGGGGCAACGGCCCACCAAGGCGACGAUCGGUAGGGGUUCUGAGAGGAAGGUCCCCCACAUUGAAACUGAGACACGGUCCAAACUCCUACGGGAGGCAGCAGUGAGGAAUAUUGGUCAAUGGAGGCAACUCUGAACCAGCCAAGUAGCGUGCAGGACGACGGCCCUAUGGGUUGUAAACUGCUUUUAUAAGGGGAUAAAGGAUGCCACGUGUGGUGUUUUGCAUGUACCUUAUGAAUAAGGACCGGCUAAUUCCGUGCCAGCAGCCGCGGUAAUACGGAAGGUCCGGGCGUUAUCCGGAUUUAUUGGGUUUAAAGGGAGCGCAGGCCGGAGGUCAAGCGUGCCGUGAAAAACCGGGGCCCAACCCCGGUCGUGCGGCGCGAACUGUCCUUCUUGAGUGGGCGCGGCGCCGCCGGAAUUCGUCGUGUAGCGGUGAAAUGCUUAGAUAUGACGAAGAACUCCGAUCGCGAAGGCAGGCGGCGAGAGCCAUACUGACGCUCAUGCUCGAAAGCGCGGGUAUCGAACAGGAUUAGAUACCCUGGUAGUCCGCGCGGUAAACGAUGGACGCCCGCCCUGCGGCAAUUAGUUUGCGGGGCCAAGCGAAAGCGUUAAGCGUCCCACCUGGGGAGUACGCCGGCAACGGUGAAACUCAAAGGAAUUGACGGGGGCCCGCACAAGCGGAGGAACAUGUGGUUUAAUUCGAUGAUACGCGGGGAACCUUACCCGGGCUUGAACUGCAGGAGAAGGAUACAGAGAUGUUGACGCCCUUCGGGGCUCCUGUGGAGGUGCUGCAUGGUUGUCGUCAGCUCGUGCCGUGAGGUGUCGGCUUAAGUGCCAUAACGAGCGCAACCCUUUUCUUCAGUUGCCAUCAGGUGAUGCUGGGCACUCUGGAGACACUGCCACCGUAAGGUGUGAGGAAGGUGGGGAUGACGUCAAAUCAGCACGGCCCUUACGUCCGGGGCUACACACGUGUUACAAUGGGUGGUACAGAGAGUCGGUCGUCUGCAAAUGCGAUCCAAUCCUUAAAGCCAUCCUCAGUUCGGAUUGGGGUCUGCAACCCGACCCCAUGAAGCUGGAUUCGCUAGUAAUCGCGCAUCAGCCAUGGCGCGGUGAAUACGUUCCCGGGCCUUGCACACACCGCCCGUCA
rnacentral:rRNA from 1 species